rnacentral:rRNA from 1 species
AUUGAACGCUGGCGGCAGGCUUAACACAUGCAAGUCGAGCGGGGGAAGGUAGCUUGCUACCGGACCUAGCGGCGGACGGGUGAGUAAUGCUUAGGAAUCUGCCUAUUAGUGGGGGACAACAUCUCGAAAGGGAUGCUAAUACCGCAUACGUCCUACGGGAGAAAGCAGGGGAUCUUCGGACCUUGCGCUAAUAGAUGAGCCUAAGUCGGAUUAGCUAGUUGGUGGGGUAAAGGCCUACCAAGGCGACGAUCUGUAGCGGGUCUGAGAGGAUGAUCCGCCACACUGGGGCUGGGACACGGCCCAGAUUCCUACGGGAGGCAGCAGUGGGGAAUAUUGGACAAUGGGGGGAACCCUGAUCCAGCCAUGCCGCGUGUGUGAAGAAGGCCCUAUGGUUGUAAAGCACUUUAAGCGAGGAGGAGGCUACUCUAGUUAAUACCUAGGGAUAGUGGACGUUACUCGCAGAAUAAGCACCGGCUAACUCUGUGCCAGCCGCCGCCGUAA